rnacentral:rRNA from 1 species
CUGCAGCCGCUCCUUGACAAGCUGCUAGCGAGACUCGCCUCCUGGAAGCUCAAACUGCUCACUAUGGCUGGGCGGCUUGUCCUGCUCAAUGCAGUGCUCUCGGCGUUCACCGUCUACUGGAUGUCGGUCCAUGUGUUGCCAUCCUGGGCGCGUCGUGCCAUCGACCGUGCUCGCCGCGCUUGGCUCUGGAAGGGACAUGAGGAAUGCCAUGGAGGCCACUGUAAAGUAGUGUGGGGCAGGAUCUGCAGGCCGCGGGAUCUUGGGGGCCUGGGGAUACUGGACAUUGAUCGCUUUGGCACUGCACUUCAUCUCCGAUGGCUCUGGGUAGAAAGAACGGCAGUGCAACGGCCUUGGUUUGGGCUCCCGGUGCCGUGUUCGUUGGAGGACAGGGCCCUGUUCGCUGCGGCCACUGUUGCCGUGGUUCACGACGGUCGAACAGCUUCGUUCUGGUUCGAUAGUUGGGUCAAUGGGCCGCAGAUUUUCGGUUUCUCGCGCCGCAAAUGGAGGUCUGUUCGUGAUGCCCUUGAUGCCAGCAAAUGGGUGCAUGACCUUAGAGGCCGCAUCACUGCCGAGUUGCUCUCGGAGUUCGUGGGCCUCUAG